UCUCUCCCUCUCAUCGGGAAGUCUGCCUCCUCUCAGCACUGACAGAACACUCCACCAGCAGAGCUUACAGGCUUUCCCGGGCUGAUGACUGAGUCCUGAAGCCAGGGACAGGACCCAGAAGCUCAAGAGCGACAGGGAAGAUAUGUAAGUUGAGAGAGGGAAAAGGGCCUUCACCCCUAGUCUGGCCGAAGUCUCUCCACACCAGUGAGUUGAGAAUUCUAGCACGAUUAGCACCAAAAUAAGGAUCACUGACACGGCUUCCCUUCCUCAAAGAGAGCUGUCACGUAACUAUCAGAACAGCAGCAAACCAUGGCCUCUCCCUUCCCAGCUGUAGACCCAACAAACUCCAUUCAUGGUUUGCAGCAGUGGAACUGGAACGCAGCAAUGGAGUUCCUGUGUGACCUUGGAGCUGCUGGAUGUGAGGCAGCCGUGCUAGGUAUUGAACUCAGAGCCUGAUUCCUCAAAGAGAUACCACAUUUGCUGGCCCAGCUCAUCGGCUUGCAGACCCUUUGACCUGAAGGGAGAUAAGGCACUAGCACUCAGUGGUGAAGAACACAGACAAGGGACUGAGUGGGAGAGUGACAACUGUGGUGUGACGUCCUCUACCACACGGCCUAGCCUACAGAGCCACCGCGGUCAACGCCUAACCCAAUGCUGAAGAGAUGGGAUUCCCAUGCCAGCGCCUCCACUCAGCUGCUCUCUGUUGGUUCACCUCUGCAGCCACCCCUGGGCUGGUUCACCUCUGCAGCCACCCCUGGGCUAGCCCAAAUGGAUAGUUUGGGUGGGGCAGGAAGUACUAAGCCAACUGACUUGAAUUAAGCUCUAACC